GAAUUUUGGACAAUGGGCGAAAGACUGAUCCAGCAAUGCCGCGGGCAGGAUUAAGGCCUUCGGGUUGUAAACUGCUUUUGUACGGAACGAAAAGCUUUGGGUGAAUACCCUCGAGUCAUGACGGUACCGUAAGAAUAAGCACCGGCUAACUACGUGCCAGCAGCCGCGGGAAUUCGUACGGUGCAAGCGCUAAUCGGAAUUACGGGUGGUAAAGCGUGCGCAGGCGGUUUGUUAAGACAGUGGUGAAAUCCCCGGGCUCAACCUGGGAACUGCCUUUGUGACUGCAAGGCUAGAGUACGGCAGAGGGGGGUGGAAUUCCGCGUGUAUCAGUGAAAUGCGUAGAUAUGCGGAGGAACACCGAUAGCGAAGGCAACCCCCUGGGCCUGUACUGACGCUCAUGCACGAAAGCGUGGGGAGCAAACA
rnacentral:rRNA from 1 species